AAGAAAGGCUCGAUAGAAGGCUUGGCAUGUGAGUGAGACAGGCAGAGGAAGCCCUGUGCACACAGCCAUGCUACUGUGGGAGCCAGGAAGCGAUGCCGGGGAAGGCAGCUGUAGGUGUCACCGCCAUGAGAUCUGUACCGUCAGGUGCUGUCAGGUGGAAAUGGCAGGGUCCCGGAGACGCUGCGCUGGCUGGACCUUCCUGGAAGUUCCGGAAAGCCAGCGAGGACGUGAAGAACGAGAAGUCUCUGGAGAAAGUGGCCUCCCAGAUGGACAGAUAUCACAAGAUAUUUCCAACUUCCAAGUCAGCAGAGAAUAUCAGAACAGGCAUGAAACUGAACACAGCCCCAGCAGCAGUCUUAUUUUCCCGGAGAUGGAAGAUGCAGAUGGUAGUUUGCCAGCCUAA
rnacentral:lncRNA from 1 species